rnacentral:rRNA from 1 species
ACGGGAUCUGACCAGCUUGCUGGUUGGUGAGAGUGGCGAACGGGUGAGUAAUGCGUGACCAACCUGCCCCAUGCUCCAGAAUAGCUCUUGGAAACGGGUGGUAAUGCUGGAUGCUCCAACUUGACGCAUGUCUUGUUGGGAAAGUGUUUAGUGGCAUGGGAUGGGGUCGCGUCCUAUCAGCUUGUAGGCGGGGUAAUGGCCCACCUAGGCUUCGACGGGUAGCCGGCCUGAGAGGGCGGACGGCCACAUUGGGACUGAGAUACGGCCCAGACUCCUACGGGAGGCAGCAGUGGGGAAUAUUGCGCAAUGGGGGAAACCCUGACGCAGCGACGCCGCGUGCGGGAUGAAGGCCUUCGGGUUGUAAACCGCUUUUGAUUGGGAGCAAGCUUUCGGGUGAGUGUACCUUUCGAAUAAGCGCCGGCUAACUACGUGCCAGCAGCCGCGAUAAUACGUAGGGCGCAAGCGUUAUCCGGAAUUAUUGGGCGUAAAGAGCUUGUAGGCGGUUCGUCGCGUCUGGUGUGAAAGCCCAUCGCUUAACGGUGGGUCUGCGCCGGGUACGGGCGGGCUAGAGUGCAGUAGGGGAGACUGGAAUUCCCGGUGUAACGGUGGAAUGUGUAGAUAUCGGGAAGAACACCAAUGGCGAAGGCAGGUCUCUGGGCUGUUACUGACGCUGAGAAGCGAAAGCGUGGGGAGCGAACAGGAUUAGAUACCCUGGUAGUCCACGCCGUAAACGGUGGACGCUGGAUGUGGGGCC